AAGGGCGACUUCGGAAGCCUCGUGCUAAUUAGGUAAAAAGCCGGCAUUGUUGGUGAUUCAUAAUUAUCUUGCGGAUCGCAUGCCCUUGUGGCGGCGACGAAUCAUUCAAACUUCUGCCCUAUCAACUGUUGAUGGUAAGAUCGGGGCUUACCAUGGUGUCGACGGGUAACGGAGAAUUAGGGUUCGAUUCCGGAGAAGGAGCCUUAGAGACGGCUGCUACAUCCAAGGAAGGCAGCAGGCGCGCAAAUUACCCAAUUCUGACUCAGAGAGGUAGUGACAAGAAAUAACAACUCUGGGCCUUCAAGGUCUAGGGAUUGGAAUGAGAACAGUUUAAAAUUAUUAUCGAAUACAAUUGGAGGGCAAGUCCGGUGCCAGCAGCCGCGGUAAUUCCAGCUCCAAUAGCAUAUACGAAUGUUGUUGCAGUUAAAACGCCCGUAGUCGAACUUUGGCUAGCGAGGCUGGGUCGCGCGCAAGCGUGAACCCUCCCCUCGCUGGUCUCUGCCGGGGAGCGGCGUGGGUCCUUUACUGGGCCCGCGUGCGCGCCGGCCGUUACCUUUGAGUAAAUUAGAGUGUUCCAGGCAAGCAUCCGCUUUGAAUACGUCAGCAUGGGAUUAUAGAACACGACUCGGACUCUGUUUCUGUUGGUUUCAGAGUUUGAGUAAUGAUGAAUAGGGACGGUUGGGGGCACUGGUAUUCCUGAGCUAGAGGUGAAAUUCUGGGAUUUCAGGAAGACCAACUUCUGCGAAAGCAUUUGCCAAGGACGCUCCCAUUGAUCAAGGACGAAAGUUCGGGGAUCGAAGACGAUUAGAUACCGUCGUAGUCCGAACCAUAAACUAUGCCGACUGGAGAUUUGACGAUGGUUCCUUUUACGCCUCGUCAAGCAUCCUAUGAGAAAUCUAAGUUUUUGGGUUCUGGGGGGAGUAUGGUCGCAAGGCUGAAACUUAAAGGAAUUGACGGAAGGGCACCACCAGGAGUGGAGCCUGCGGCUUAAUUCGACCCAACACGGGAAAACUCACCAGGUCAGGACAUAGUAAGGAUUGACAGAUUGAGAGUUCUUUCUUGAUUCUAUGGUUGGUGGUGCAUGGCCGUUCUUAGUUCGUGGAGUGAUUUGUCUUGGUUAAUUCCGAUAACGAACGAGACCUUCACCUGCUAAAUAGCCCUGUCAGCUGCGGCUGGCACGGACUUCUUAGAGGGACUAUCCGCGUCUAGCGGACGGAGGCUGAAGGCAAUAACAGGUCUGUGAUGCCCUUAGAUGUCCUGGGCCGCACGCGCGCUACACUGACGGGUUCAACAAGUGCUGCCCUUGGCCGAAAGGUCUGGGUAAUCUUUGAACGCCCGUCGUGCUGGGGAUUGACUUUUGUAAUUUUUAGUCAUCAACGAGGAAUGCCUUGUAGGCGCGAGUCAUCAGCUCGCGUCGAAUACGUCCCUGCCCUUUGUACACACCGCCCGUCGCUGCUACCGACUGAGCGAUCCGGUGAAACAU
rnacentral:rRNA from 1 species